UUCUGUACUUCAUUGGUAUGCGAAGCUUCCAGGAGCUUCCUGUGCGGGGCGCGAGCUCCUGCCACCGGGGUCUUCUGGCAAAUUUUGGGUGGAGGGUCUUCGGGCCCUCCUUUUUUUUUACUUUUUUCU
rnacentral:misc_RNA from 1 species